rnacentral:lncRNA from 1 species
UCGGCCGAUUCAGUAAAUGUUUCUUUUAACAGAUAUUCUUCCGCAAUGGUUUCAACCCAUUCAACUUCCUUACUUUCUUCAUGAUCACUGGGUUGUUUGCCUAUACUAAAGACGUUCAGUUCCAAGGUCAUAUUGCCAAAAGAAAGCUUCAUGACACCAUUCCUACAAUUGAUCAAUGCAUUAGAAGUUGCAAGGAAUGGACGUCCUAAGAUGACC